rnacentral:lncRNA from 1 species
UCCCAAACAUGAAUGAACAUAUAUAGUGACCGACCGUUUCUAGAGCAAGUGAUAAAAGGCUUGGUGAUUGAUACCCGAGGUCCCAAGUUCGAAUCCUAGUUGAUUUAUAUUUUCAACUAAAUUUAUUUCUAAAUGAAAUAAACGAAACGGGUAGCGUGCUACCUAUCUCUCAAAAAAAAAAAAAAAAAAAAAAAAAAAAAAAAAAAAAAAAAAAAAAAAAAA